rnacentral:rRNA from 1 species
UCGAGAAUUUUUCACAAUGGGCGAAAGCCUGAUGGAGCGACGCCGCGUGGGGGAUGAAUGGCUUCGGCCCGUAAACCCCUGUCAUUCGCGAUCAACCCUUAUUAUUUAAAAGAUGAUGAGCUGAUAGUAGCGGAAGAGGAAGGGACGGCUAACUCUGUGCCAGCAGCCGCGGUAAUACAGAGGUCCCGAGCGUUGUUCGGAUUCACUGGGCGUAAAGGGUGCGUAGGUGGUGGGGUAAGUCGGAUGUGAAAUCUCCAAGCUCAACUUGGAAAUGGCAUUGGAAACUGCCCUGCUAGAGGAUCGGAGGGGGGACUGGAAUACUUGGUGUAGCAGUGAAAUGCGUAGAUAUCAAGUGGAACACCAGUGGCGAAGGCGAGUCCCUGGACGAUACCUGACACUGAGGCACGAAAGCUAGGGGAGCAAACAGG